GAUUACUGGCUCAGGAUGAACGCUAGCGGCAGGCUUAACACAUGCAAGUCGAGGGGCAUCGGGAGUAGCAAUACUGCCGGCGACCGGCGCAAGGGUGCGUAACGCGUGAGCAACAUGCCCGUAUCAGGGGGAUAAUCCAUGGAAACGUGGUCUAAUACCCCAUAGUAAUUAUGUAAGGCAUCUUAUAUAAUUUAAAGCUUUGGUGGAUACGGAUUGGCUCGCGUGACAUUAGCUGGAUGGUAAGGUAACGGCUUACCAUGGCUACGAUGUCUAGGGGUUCUGAGAGGAAGGUCCCCCACACUGGAACUGAGACACGGUCCAGACUCCUACGGGAGGCAGCAGUGAGGAAUAUUGGACAAUGGAUGGAAAUCUGAUCCAGCCAUGCCGCGUGCCAGGAAGACGGCCCUAUGGGUUGUAAACUGCUUUUGUAUGGGAGCAAUAAGGGCUACGUGUAGUCCGAUGAGAGUACCAUACGAAUAAGCACCGGCUAACUCCGUGCCAGCCGCCGC
rnacentral:rRNA from 1 species